CCUACGGGCGGCUGCAGUGGGGAAUAUUGGACAAUGGGGGCAACCCUGAUCCAGCCAUGCCGCGUGUGUGAAGAAGGCCCUCGGGUUGUAAAGCACUUUCAGUGAGGAAGAACGCCUGGUGGUUAAUACCCAUCAGGAAAGACAUCACUCACAGAAGAAGCACCGGCUAACUCCGUGCCAGCAGCCGCGGUAAUACGGAGGGUGCGAGCGUUAAUCGGAAUUACUGGGCGUAAAGCGCGCGUAGGUGGCUUGAUAAGCCGGUUGUGAAAGCCCCGGGCUCAACCUGGGAACGGCAUCCGGAACUGUCAAGGUAGAGUGCAGGAGAGGAAGGUAGAAUUCCCGGGGUAGCGGUGAAAUGCGUAGAGAUCGGGAGGAAUACCAGUUGCGAAGGCGGCCUUCUGGACUGACACUGACACUGAGGUGCGAAAGCGUGGGUAGCAAACAGGAUUAGAUACCCCGGUAGUC
rnacentral:rRNA from 1 species